rnacentral:other from 1 species
AGCUCUCUGCCCUGCAAGUGAGGUUAGAACGCCCAAGCGGAAUAAUGUUAUUUCGGGAUCGCUUCCAGGGGCGUUGUGAGCCAGCCCACCACGUAGUGGGACGCCUGAUACGCCCACAAGCUAUCCCCCCUAUUCUGGUACUCGCUUUGAGGCCGGAAAACCCACGGCAGGCGUGGAGAGCCA